AUUGAACGCUGGCGGCAUGCUUUACACAUGCAAGUCGAACGGUAACGCGGGGGCAACCCUGGCGACGAGUGGCGAACGGGUGAGUAAUACAUCGGAACGUGCCCAGUAGUGGGGGAUAGC
rnacentral:rRNA from 1 species